rnacentral:rRNA from 1 species
UCGAACGGCAAACGAUACUAGUCUUGCUAGUAGGCGUCGAGUGGCGGACGGGUGAGUAACGCGUAGGAAUCUACCAGAUAGUGGGGGAUAGCCCGAAGAAAUUCGGAUUAAUACCGCAUAAUCUCUACGGAGUAAAGGAGGCCUCUAUUUAUAAGCUUUCGCUAUCUGAUGAGCCUGCGUAAGAUUAGCUAGUUGGUGAGGUAAAAGCUCACCAAGGCGACGAUCUUUAGCUGGUCUGAGAGGAUGAUCAGCCACACUGGGACUGAGACACGGCCCAGACUCCUACGGGAGGCAGCAGUGGGGAAUAUUGGACAAUGGGCGCAAGCCUGAUCCAGCAAUACCGCGUGUGUGAAGAAGGCCUGAGGGUUGUAAAGCACUUUCAAUUGUGAAGAAAAGUUGAUGGUUAAUAACCAUCAGCCUUGACGUUAACUUCAGAAGAAGCACCGGCUAACUCCGUGCCAGCAGCCGCGGUAAUACGGAGGGUGCAAGCGUUAAUCGGAAUUACUGGGCGUAAAGCGUGCGUAGGUGGUUUGUUAAGUCAGAUGUGAAAGCCCUGGGCUCAACCUGGGAACUGCAUUUGAAACUGGCAAACUAGAGUAUAGGAGAGGAAAGUGGAAUUUCAGGUGUAGCGGUGAAAUGCGUAGAUAUCUGAAGGAACAUCAAUGGCGAAGGCAGCUUUCUGGACUAAUACUGACACUGAGGUACGAAAGC